rnacentral:rRNA from 1 species
UUGUGAAAUCUAACGGNUCAACCGUUAAACUGCUUGGGAAACUGAUAAUCUAGAGUAAGGGAGGGGCAGAUGGAAUUCUUGGUGUAGGGGUAAAAUCCGUAGAUAUCAAGAAGAAUACCUAUUGCGAAGGCGAUCUGCUGGAACUUAACUGACGCUAAUGCGUGAAAGCGUGGGGAGCAAACAGGAUUAGAUACCCUGGUAGUCCACGCCCUAAACGAUGUAUACCGGUUGUUGCUGUGCUAGUCACGGCAGUAAUCCACCUAACGGGUUAAGUAUACCGCCUGGGGAGUACGGUCGCAAGAUUAAAACUCAAAGGAAUAGACGGGGACCCGCACAAGCGGUGGAGCAUGUGGUUUAAUUCGAAGAUACGCGAAGAACCUUACCCGGACUUGAUAUCUAACAAAUCAUCCAGAGAUGGAAGAGUGUCUGCUUGCAGAAAUGUUAAGACAGGUGCUGCACGGCUGUCGUCAGCUCGUGUCGUGAGAUGUUGGGUUAAGUCCCGCAACGAGCGCAACCCACGUCAUUAGUUGCUAACGGUUCGGCCGAGCACUCUAAUGAGACUGCCUUCGUACGGAGGAGGAAGGUGUGGACGACGUCAAGUCAUCAUGGCCCUUAUGUCCGGGGCGACACACGUGCUACAAUGGCAUAUACAAUAAGACGCAAUAUCGUAAGAUGGAGCAAAUCUAAAAAAUAUGUCCCAGUUCGGAUUGGAGUCUGCAACUCGACUCCAUGAAGCCGGAAUCGCUAGUAAUCGUAGAUCAGCCAUGCUACGGUGAAUACGUUCCCGGGUCUUGUACUCACCGCCCGUCACACCAUGGGAGUUGAUUUCACUC